GAGGAGGUUAACAGAGGUAGAUGUAGGGAGAGAAGGUUAACAGAGGUAGAUGUAGGAAGAGGAGGUUAACAGAGGUAGAUGUAGAGAGAGGAGGUUAACAGAGGUAGAUGUAGGGAGAGGAGAUUAACAGAGGUAGACGUAGAGAGAGGAGGUUCACAGAGGUAGACAGAGGAGAUAACAGAG